rnacentral:misc_RNA from 1 species
GAUGAAGAACGUAGUGAAAUGCGAUAAGUAAUGUGAAUUGCAGAAUUCAGUGAAUCAUCGAAUCUUUGAACGCACAUUGCGCCCGCCAGUAUUCUGGCGGGCAUGCCUGUCUGAGCGUCAUUUCACCCCUCAUGCCCCUAGGGCGUGGUGUUGGGGAUCGGCCAAAGCCCGCGAGGGACGGCCGGCCCCUAAAUCUAGUGGCGGACCCGUCGUGGCCUCCUCUGCGAAGUAGUGAUAUUCCGCAUCGGAGAGCGACGAGCCCCUGCCGUUAAACCCCCAACUUUCCAAGGUUGACCUCAGAUCAGGUAGGAAUACCCGCUGAACUUAAGCAUAUAAUAAGCGGAGGA